CUGACGCGCCUGGUGAAUUAUUCUCCAUUCGUUCUAUCGCUCCUCUCUGUUCGCAGGUGUGUAGACGGUAUCUGCAAAUCGCAUCGGCUUGGCUGCUUUCCUCCUUCGUUCUUCACUUCCUAACAAUGGUCGUCGGCCGGUUCGAAGUGUCGGCCGUAGUAAGAGGUCAAAAGAGACACUAUUAAGCUUCACAAACUAAGGCCUCAAUACAAGAAGGAUAUUGGCCUUUGAAUACAAUGCGGAUAGAUCAACAAAUUUAGCUCGGGUGUACCAACAUAUUUUGGACCUUCUGCCUUCCAUUUAGGGGUGCACUUCCCACUGUUUAGGAUAUGAUUAGACUUGCUACUGUUUAAACUAUUAAUCUUAAGUUUUUUGCCCCAUGGGUCUUCUGUACGUUUUUUGUCCUUGUUGACACUUUGUAUAUACCUAUCGUCUGUUACUUUGUCCCCUGGGAAUAUUUUGAUCGCUACCCAGUGUGUAUUAUGGUUUUCGCUAUCUCAAAGUUGGCACAUUUAAAAUUGGUUUA